UCGAGCGGACCGACGGGAGCUUGCUCCCUUAGGUCAGCGGCGGACGGGUGAGUAACACGUGGGUAACCUGCCUGUAAGACUGGGAUAACUCCGGGAAACCGGGGCUAAUACCGGAUGCUUGAUUGAACCGCAUGGUUCAAUCAUAAAAGGCGGCUUCGGCUGCCGUUUACAGAUGGACCCGCGGCGCAUUAGCUAGUUGGUGAGGUAACGGCUCACCAAGGCGACGAUGCGUAGCCGACCUGAGAGGGUGAUCGGCCACACUGGGACUGAGACACGGCCCAGACUCCUACGGGAGGCAGCAGUAGGGAAUCUUCCGCAAUGGACGAAAGUCUGACGGAGCAACGCCGCGUGAGUGAUGAAGGUUUUCGGAUCGUAAAGCUCUGUUGUUAGGGAAGAACAAGUACCGUUCGAAUAGGGCGGUACCUUGACGGUACCUAACCAGAAAGCCACGGCUAACUACGUGCCAGCAGCCGCGGUAAUACGUAGGUGGCAAGCGUUGUCCGGAAUUAUUGGGCGUAAAGCGCGCGCAGGCGGUUUCUUAAGUCUGAUGUGAAAGCCCCCGGCUCAACCGGGGAGGGUCAUUGGAAACUGGGGAACUUGAGUGCAGAAGAGGAGAGUGGAAUUCCACGUGUAGCGGUGAAAUGCGUAGAGAUGU
rnacentral:rRNA from 1 species